rnacentral:rRNA from 1 species
AUGUCUGACAAUGGGGGGCCAUUCAAAAAUAAGCAUGUCGAUAAGUUAUGCUUGAAACUCAAAAUAAUUUAUCACUAUUCUACGGCUUAUAAUCCGGCAGCUAAUGGACAAGCGGAAGCUUUUAAUAAAACCCUCUGCAAAUUGUUAAAGAAAGUCGUGUCUAGAAAUAAGCGUGAGUGGCAUGAGAAACUUCUUGAGGCCUUGUGGGCUUAUAGAACCACGACACGUACACCGACGGGAAUGACACCAUACUCCCUCGUAUUUGGAGGAGAAGCAGUUCUACCAUUAGAAGUACAAAUUACUUCGCUCAGAGUGGCUGUUCAAGAGAAACUUUCGAAAGAGGAGGCCAUAAAAUUACGCCUCGGUGAACUCAAAAUGCUUGAAGGGAAACGCCUUCAGGCAUUACAAAAUUUGGAAUCUUAUCAGGCUAGAAUGUCCCGUGCUUUUGAGAAGCGCGUUAAAAGGAGAUCAUUCAAGCAAGGAGACCUAGUGCUCGCCGUCAUUCGUCCAAUGAAUGUUACAUGACGGAUGGGAGGAAAGUUCGAGCCAAAAUGGGAGGGUCCCUACAUCAUAAAAGAGGUCUACUCUAGUGGUGCAUACAGGAUAAUUUCCCCUGACGGCGAGUAUUGCUCGACACCGAUAAAUGGAAAAUUCCUUAAGCCCUACUAUGCUUGA